GACGAACGCUGGCGGCGUGCCUAAUACAUGCAAGUAGAACGCUGAAGGAGGAGCUUGCUUCUCUGGAUGAGUUGCGAACGGGUGAGUAACGCGUAGGUAACCUGCCUGGUAGCGGGGGAUAACUAUUGGAAACGAUAGCUAAUACCGCAUAAUAGUAGAUGUUGCAUGACAUUUGCUUAAAAGGUGCAAUUGCAUCACUACCAGAUGGACCUGCGUUGUAUUAGCUAGUUGGUGGGGUAACGGCUCACCAAGGCGACGAUACAUAGCCGACCUGAGAGGGUGAUCGGCCACACUGGGACUGAGACACGGCCCAGACUCCUACGGGAGGCAGCAGUAGGGAAUCUUCGGCAAUGGACGGAAGUCUGACCGAGCAACGCCGCGGGAGUGAAGAAGGUUUUCGGAUCGUAAAGCUCUGUUGUAAGAGAAGAACGAGUGUGAGAGUGGAAAGUUCACACUGUGACGGUAUCUUACCAGAAAGGGACGGCUAACUACGUG
rnacentral:rRNA from 1 species